rnacentral:lncRNA from 1 species
AAGGUAGUUUGGUACAAAGAUUAGCUGGGAAUAAGGCGCGAACAUCAGACAACGCAAGCACACCCGACGACAGUGCAAGCAAGCGCAAGUCGGAACUUAGUUUGUUUGGAUUUCGACUUUAGAAGGCGUUCUUUUACGCCAGGUUCAGGACUCGACUUUAAUAAUAUACUUUCUGGCUUAUAUAAGCCACAAUGCGCUGGUGUUGUGGCACCAGGGACUCCGUCAAGCACUCUUGCAGUUCCUUGGCCACUCCUGGGCCUGCGUUUGCCAGCACAUCUCCUAGCAGCUCUUCUGCCUGAUCGAGCAUGACCAUGACCGUGGGUUUCACCACCCGCAUUAUCCUUGUGUCAUGGCUCUGACCUGUACCUCCGUGACCGUCCACAGCUGGGAUGUUGGGACACGGUCAACAUCCUUGUAAUGCAGCGAAACUGGGCUGCCCUGACUGCCUCCUUGCAGCGGCCAAGCACCUACUGGAUAUCCCUCUCCCUGACAUUGCUGUUUAUUUGGGGCUGCAUCCUCCAGGGCAAAUCCAUUGGACCAGGGCUACUCAGCCUGAGUGCUUCUCUCCACGAGAGCAUCCCGAGGAGCAAACCCACCAGACCAAGGCAAC